rnacentral:misc_RNA from 1 species
GUAUUCUAUUGUUAGGCGCAUAGAAAAGCAAUGGAUUCCAUUGGGAACCAUUUUGGCAGAUAGCUGACUUAAGAAUGUGCUCUAUAUUUUUAAGCUCCUAACUUGGUCAUCUGCUGUUUGAGGCAUCGAUCUGAUCUUUAUGAUUAGAGUGAAAAUUAUAUAUUUGUUGACUUUAGGUUAACUUUGGAUUUUAUUUCUCAAUUUCCUUGAAUUGGUUUUCCUUGUUGAGCAAAAAUUGAAGUAUAAGAGGGGAUAGUUGAGAAAUUUCAAUAAAAUUAAUAUAAACCUGUCCGUUAUAUAUAAUAGGUAUUUGUUUUGAUAUUUUUUUGGUUGGAACGUAUAGAAUCAAUGAUGAGUUUUCUUGAUUAUCUAGAUAAUUUUUAUUUUGCACUCAACCUGUUUGUGUGGAUGUCCAAGUGAAUAAUGGUAUCAUAAUUUGAGACUUUUACCUAUCUCUGUUUUCAUGUGUUAUCAUUUCUUAUAUAAUAAAAAAAUACUUUAAAUUUAUGAAUGCUAUUCAUGCUCAAUAAUCUUUUUACAUUUAGAAUGUAAGGAUUUUGAUUUAUAUUCAAUUUAGACUUUUUUCCCUAGCUCACUCUAUCUUGAGACUUGAGAGUACCAAUUAUUUGAUGACUAUUGGUUGAUUCGGAGGUUUUGGAAGUUAAAGUUAACAGUGUGUCUCUAUGCAUUUAUUAUAAAGAAAAUUUUACUCUGGGUAAAAUAAGUUGUUCUUUAUAACAUGAAGCUCUCUGCUCUGCUCUUUACUUUUAGAAGUAUAGUAGCUUGACCAGAAGUGUUUAAAUAUUUCAGUUAGCAGGUUAUCUAGUCUGGCAUGAUGGGUGGAAGUGCAA